ACGGAGGAUGCAAGCGUUAUCCGGAUUUAUUGGGUUUAAAGGGUGCGUAGGCGGAUUAAUAAGUCAGUGGUGAAAACCUGCAGCUUAACUGUAGACUUGCCAUUGAUACUGUUAGUCUUGAGUACGGUCAAGGUAGGCGGAAUGUGUAAUGUAGCGGUGAAAUGCUUAGAUAUUACACAGAACACCGAUUGCGAAGGCAGCUUACUGGGCCAUUACUGACGCUGAGGCACGAAAGCGUGGGGAGCGAACAGG
rnacentral:rRNA from 1 species